UCUAAUAUGGCAGAUUAGUGCAAUGAACUUAAACUUCAAAUAUAAAGAUAUACUUUUUUUAGAA
rnacentral:tRNA from 1 species